GGUCUCCCCGGAGCCUUCUCCAGGCUGAACCCCCCAACUCUCUCAGCCCCCCCUCCCAGCAGAGGGGCUCCAGCCUCUGAUCAUCCCUGUGGCCUCCCCUGGCCCCAUCCACCAGCUCUGAUGUCAGACACAGAGGCUGGUGUCACCACUGCUGCUCGCUCCCGUGGGCUGAGGUCCCAGGAGGGUUUUUCCCCCUCCAGCUGGAAGUGGAAGAUGGAGAAAAAGCAGCCAAACUCCUCCACGAUGUCUCCAGGCCCUUCCCAUCCCACACCACCUCCAUUUCCCACCUCAAACACGAGCUGUUGCCCAAGGACAAGGCUUUGCUGUAGAGCAGAGCAAGUGCUGGUCAGUGCUGGUCCCCGAGGACUCACCUUACUCACUCCUGGGGAAGUGGACUCGUACCCCCAGCUCUGCAAGGCAAAAAAUUCAUCGUUCCCCAAAAGCAAUUCAGGUUACAGGGACAGGCGGGUGCUCUGGGGCUCAGGAGACCUAAAUACUGUCCCUGCCUUUGCCAGCGGCUGCAGGAGAAGCUCAGAAAACUGAUUUUGGUCUACCCGUGCCUGAAGUCUCGGGUUUUAAAAGGGGGGUGAAUCCAGAUCGGCUUCUUUUCUAAAGCCCUUUGAGAUCUCUGGGUGGGGAGGACCGAGCCUCGCGCUGGCUGGUUGAAAAGUUACAAGCAGGGGCUAAAAAAAAAUGUCUUUUGGGUUCUGUUCAUCCUGCAGCCAUCAGCGUGUUGGGUGGUGUCUUGCCUGCGUCUGCGGGAUGGAAAAACAGCUGGAAAAACAAAGCUGGGAUGAACCUCCAGGUUGGGACGGGGGCUCCGGGGUUCAGUGGGGGCUGCAAAGCUCCGAGGUCUCCAAGAGAAGAUGCAGAAGGAGCGUGGGAUGAGGUGGCAGCAGGAGAAGGGACAGAGGGGACGCUUCUCCCCGGUAAACUACACCAGCGUGGGGCUCUGAUGGGCAGAGCUCUAAAUUCUCCCCCUUAAUUAAUUUCAGACAAUUGCUAUUUACAGCUUGACUCACGGAACGGACACGUUACUCGUCCUGGAGGAAUGGAGGUCACUUCGUGCCCUUUUCACCGCUCCGUGGGACACCUCUGGUCAAAGCCAACUCCCCGAGCGGGCGUUUGGGUUGAAAUCAGGGACCCGCCAGCCCGUUGGGGCUGCUCAGUUCCCUCCCCGACCACCAGCUCGUUAUUUCUGUCCCUCUCCUUCAACCGCCUGCGCCUCAUUUGCAUCGUUGGGAGCCAAAACAAGAUCACCCCAACUCGCAGCUACACAACUUCUCAUUUCACACCUCGCCGCUGGCUCUGCCCGACCCUUUGUCCCUGAGCGAGAGGCAGAGGAGGAACCGGACGGUGCUGAAAGGCCACGGGCUCCGCAGCAGGAACGACACCGCUCCCGACAGCACACCCCCCUCGGGACCAACAGAAUUCCCCUUUUCGGUCUCAUUUCUGACCCUGGAGACGCACCAGCCCUAGGGAUACCCUUCAAGAGCACUGCAUCUCCCCUGGCCACUAACUCCCCUCCCCUGGCCACUAACUCACCCGCUCCUGCUGCGUCCCCUGCCCCAGUCCAUCCUGGGUGGCACCAGCACCAUUUGCACAACACUCUUCCUUCUUGCCGAGUCCCUCAACUUCCCAGGUGUUUGUUUAAUAGAAAUUUGCUCAUUCAUAGUAUUUUGUUUCCUUUUCUUUUUCCC